rnacentral:misc_RNA from 1 species
UUUUUUUUUUAAAAAAAAAGGAGAAGGCCCAUGGACCAUGGCUUGGAGCCAGUCCGCAAAUGGCACCCAUCAAUGAGUCGUUCAAUUCCCGCCAAAACAAGGGUAGUCCUAUCUCCCCUUCCCGCCAAAAACUCUCCCCUUAGCCCCCUUGAUUGCGAAAACAGCUCACAUUGCCCCUGCUCUUGAGUUUCCAUCUCUCUCUCUAUCUCUCUGUCUCUCUUUCUGCUGAGUGUACGCUGUCGCUGCCGGCCAAGGCUGAGAGAUGGCGACCAUGGACGAUAGAAGCAGUCACAAGAGAGCAUUCUUGGAAUUUCUGGAUCAAAAUAUAUACAAGGAUGAGAUAAAGGCCAUGAUCAACCACAAGCGUCGCCGCCUCAUCAUCAAUAUCUCCGAUCUCCAUGCUUUUCAGGACUUUGGUCCCAGGUUUUCUUUUUCUCUGCCUCCAAAAUCCACCAAAUCAAUCAAUCUGCACUCACUAAUGAACAAAAUAAAUGAAAGAAGUUCUAAAGCGGAGAUUAUUUAUUGUCGGAAAAUUAUAAUAAAGGAAAAAGUCGGUCUUAAAUCAUCGAAACAAUUCCCAAAUGCCAGAUUAGAGCGAAUUUUAGCUCCGCAGCCGUUAAGUGCUUAUGGUUUUCUAAGAUAUGAGGGUUUUGGGCCUUUUCCCCAUCAAUUGAAUCUUAGUUUUGGGUUUCAUUUAGUUGUGUGUUUUGUCUUUUCAAUUUCGCCGGUGAGAGCUGUGGAAUUAUAGUUAUAAAUUUUUAUUCUAUUUCUUGAUACUGGUUUAUUUUUUCUGUUGGAUUUUAGGAUUCUCAAGUACCCAAAUGAGUAUAUGCAACCAUUCUGUGAUGCAGCCACAGAUGUGGCUCGCAGCAUUGAUCCUAAGUACUUGAAGGAAGGAGAGCAAGUUCUUGUGGGUUUUGAGGGCCCUUUUGUCUCUCGCCGUGUCACUCCGAGGGAACUUUUGUCUGAAUUUAUUGGCUCCAUGGUCUGCGUUGAGGGCAUUGUCACAAAAUGUUCUCUUGUAAGGCCAAAGGUUGUCAGAAGUGUUCAUUUCUGUCCGGCAACUGGGGAUUUCACAACUCGCGAAUAUCGUGACAUUACAUCUAAUGUGGGUUUGCCCACAGGUUCUGUGUAUCCUACAAGGGAUGACAAUGGGAAUUUAUUGGUGACUGAGUAUGGUUUAUGCAAGUACAAAGAUCAUCAAACCUUGUCAAUGCAAGAAGUGCCUGAAAAUUCUGCUCCUGGUCAGCUUCCACGAACAGUGGAUGUCAUAGUUGAGGAUGAUCUGGUUGAUUCAUGCAAGCCUGGUGAUCGUGUGGCUAUUGUGGGGAUAUAUAAAGCACUUCCUGGAAGAAGCAAGGGUAGUGUGAAUGGAGUAUUCAGGACUGUUCUCAUAGCUAAUAAUGUUUCUUUGCUCAACAAGGAGGCUAAUGCACCAAUUUACAGUCCAGAAGAUCUAAAGAACAUAAAAAAGAUAGCUGAAAGGAAUGAUGCAUUUGAUCUACUUGGUAAUUCACUGGCACCUUCAAUAUAUGGGCAUUCUUGGAUAAAAAAAGCAGUGGUUUUAUUGAUGCUUGGUGGAGUGGAAAAGAACUUGAAGAAUGGCACUCAUUUACGAGGUGACAUUAACAUGAUGAUGGUUGGUGAUCCAUCUGUGGCCAAAUCUCAACUUUUAAGAGCAAUUAUGAAUAUUGCCCCCUUGGCCAUAUCAACCACUGGUCGUGGUUCUUCUGGUGUAGGAUUGACAGCUGCUGUUACUUCUGAUCAAGAAACAGGAGAAAGAAGGCUAGAAGCUGGAGCAAUGGUUCUUGCUGACAGAGGUGUUGUUUGCAUUGAUGAAUUUGAUAAGAUGAAUGAUCAGGAUCGUGUUGCUAUACAUGAAGUUAUGGAGCAGCAAACUGUUACCAUUGCCAAAGCUGGUAUUCAUGCAUCUCUGAAUGCCCGAUGCAGUGUGGUGGCGGCUGCAAAUCCCAUCUAUGGAACUUAUGACCGCUCGUUGACACCAACAAAGAAUAUUGGACUUCCAGACUCUUUGCUUUCUCGGUUUGAUUUACUUUUCAUAGUUUUGGAUCAAAUGGAUCCUGAUGUUGACCGUCAAAUUUCAGAGCAUGUCUUGCGAAUGCAUCGUUACCGUUCUGCAAUUGAUGGAGGUGAGGGAACCCUUGAUGGGGGUCCAAGAUAUGGAAGAGAAGAGGAAGCUGAUGCUGAUUCAUCUGUCUUUGUCAAGUAUAACCGAAUGCUUCAUGGGAGGAAAAUAGAAAGGGGUCGCAAGUUUGAUACCCUUACAAUCAAGUUUCUUAAGAAGUAUAUCCAUUAUGCAAAACAUAGGAUUCAGCCUGAGCUGAGUGAUGAGGCAUCUGAACAUAUUGCUACAGCAUAUGCUGAGCUCAGAAGUGCUAGUUCAACUGCAAAGACUGGAGGAACACUUCCAAUCACUGCCAGAACCUUAGAAACCAUAAUACGUCUCUCUACUGCUCAUGCCAAAUUGAAGUUGAGUAGGAAGGUUUCCAAGUCUGAUGUUGAAGCUGCCCUGAAAGUUCUAAAUUUUGCAAUAUAUCAUAAAGAGUUAACUGAGAUAGAGCAGCGUGAACAAGAAAGGGAAGGAGAACUAGAGAGAAAACGCAGAGCUGAGCGUCGUUCUGAUAGAAAUGAUAGAGAUGGCCACACUGCUGUUGAUAUAGAAGGUCCAACAACGGAUGCCAUGGAAGUAGAAGACCCUCCUGCAGACGAAGCCACCACGGAGCUAUCUCCAGAAAGAAUUGAAGCCUUUAAUUCUACAUUUCGUGAGCAUAUGCGGUACUUGGAUAGUAUAACUAUUGAUGACCUGGAGAAGGUAGUCAAUACAGGAGCUAUUCAAUACUCAAGAGAAGAGAUAAUGGUACUAUUAAAGAAACUGCACGAUGAAAACAAAGUGAUGAUAUUUGAAGGAAAGGUCCACAUGGUGAUAUCAUGAGUAGUAUGAAUUGUACUGGCAAAUCUUAUGCAGGUUCAUGGGAACUUGUUUGGUGAAGCAGUCAAUCUGAUUUGGGAGGGGAAAAUGAAAUGAAGGUUUAAAAGGCAGAGUUCAUGUGUACCAUUGCUGAAGCAAGAGUCUGGAAGGAAAAGUGAAAGUUGGGAGUAAAAAGCUGCUGUAGCUUUUUUUUGACAGGAAAUAUGUUCCCUGGGGAAGUAAAACUUUAUUCAUUUUGAUCACUUUAGUUAGGAAAUCCCCAGUAUUUAAGACUGACAGGAUUUCUUUUUACUGUUUGUCAUUGCACUAUAUCGAGAUGGAUGACAAUUGACAAAUCAAACAACAGGCAAUAACCUUGCAAAUUUACUUGUAUUAAGGGUGCUGCUAAUUAUGUUUCUGAAAUGUCUCGUAGAUUUGUGCAUUAGUAUACCUUCUCUGGUGUAUGACAUGGAGAGCCUGUGCAUGGUUCACGGUUCAAGUUGUCUCUUCAGUACAAAAAACAAAAAAAGGGUCGCGCAUCGUGCACUAUUUUAUGUAGAUGCCAUCUGAUACAUAUUCAAGAUUAAAUUCCUAGUCUGGAAAUGCGGGUGGAGGCUUUGCACAUGGUCAGAUGAUGAAGCUUAUUACUUUUAUUAGUAGUAUCAUUAUUUUUGAAACACAUGAUGAAGCUUAUUUGAAAAGCUGAGAAAUGAAGCCUUUUCUUAUGGUUGCGUUUUAUGUUGUGGCAAAGCAGCAUUACUUGUACGAUCAAAUUCCCAUUAAACAGAAAUAUCAUAAUUAA